rnacentral:rRNA from 1 species
CCUACGGGGGGCAGCAGUCGGGAAUAUUGCGCAAUGGAGGAAACUCUGACGCAGUGACGCCGCGUAUAGGAAGAAGGUUUUCGGAUUGUAAACUAUUGUCGUUAGGGAAGAUAAAAGACUGUACCUAUGGAGGAAGCCCCGGCUAACUAUGUGCCAGCAGCCGCGGUAAUACAUAGGGGGCAAGCGUUAUCCGGAAUUAUUGGGUGGAAAGGGUGCGUAGACGGAAGAACAAGUUGGUUUUGAAAUCCCUCGGCUUAACUGAGGAACUGCAACUAAAACUAUUUUUCUUGAGUGCAGGAGAGGUAAGUGGAAUUCCUAGUGUAGCGGUGAAAUGCGUAGAUAUUAGGAGGAACACCAGUGGCGAAGGCGACUUACUGGACUGUAACUGACGUUGAGGCACGAAAGUGUGGGGAGCAAACAGGAUUAGAUACCCGUGUAGUC